rnacentral:rRNA from 1 species
UAGGGAAUCUUCCACAAUGGGACGAAAGUACUGAUGGAGCAACGCCGCGUGAGUGAAGAAGGGUUUCGGCUCGUAAAACUCUGUUGUUAAAGAAGAACAUAUCUGAGAGUAACUGUUCAGGUAUUGACGGUAUUUAACCAGAAAGCCACGGCUAACUACGUGCCAA